GGGCUCUGGAAGUCUGUAGGAGCAAUCCCUGCAUCCCAGCAGGCAGGGUGUCCUUCUCUGCUUUAUUUCAAACCCAAGCUCAUGGUUGAUGGCUGAUUCAGUGAGACCUGAACAUUCUGUCUUGCUGCCUCACAGAGGAAUCGAAGCCAAGGAGGCAGAGCACAGGAAAGACUUCAUCUAACUUCAUCUGAAAUAUUGCUGGCCCCAUGAUAGUGCAGCUUGGAAGGAAGUCAAGUUGGCUGCAAUCUCAUCCUGCCAUGGACUUUCACUAAGUCACAGCUAUUAUGGAUGCUUCCGAGUGACUGGAAGUCAAACCAGAAUGUCCCAAAUGCCAGUUGCCCCUGCUCACUCUGACAAAAGGCUGAGCCCCUGCGGUUGAGGUUAAGCCAGGUGGCAGGCAGGCCUGUGUUGCACCAGUCCCAGCCCCAGGAAGAAUUCAAAGACCAUGGCCCUACCCCAAGAUGUUUUGGGUUAAGCAUGGAAUUAUUGUUUUCCCUUCAAAGACCAGGAAAAAAGGCUGCCCGUGAAUGCCCUGGAUACUCUGAAAGGCAUGCGCCUUUGAUGCUUGUGAAGACCCUCUCUGACUGAAUGAAUAGCACAGCCCUUGCCUGGUCUCAGAACCCAGGCCUUCUGGAGUGGGUGGGACCUCAAAGUUCACUGAUUCCACCUCCCCUAGCGGGCACGUAUUUCUUGGUGUACUUCCACCCUCAUAAUUCUCAAAAAUACAAAAGCUUCCCCCCACUUUGCAUAGGACUACAUCUUGUCAGACGCCCCCCACCUCCCCUCACCAUCACCACUGUCCCUGUCUAGGACUCCCAGAUCUGCCAUCUGAGGUCUCGGCCUGCUCUCUGUUGCCUUGGGCUCCUGGAGAAGUUUGAGUCUGUCGUGGGCUAGGCUUCAAGCAAGUUCUCCAUGUCAAUAUUUGUCUGUCUUCCCAUAUAUGGUUCUGAAGCCCCCCCAGUUUACAUGGGUAAACAGAAGAAGUGCAAAGCAGCCCCCCAAACUUCAGUUGCUGACUGCCUAAAGAAGGAAAUGGGGUUCUUAUCUCCCUGGCCUCAUGGCAGUCUGGUCAACAUUGAACCUGGAAAUUAAAUGUUUUGGGUUUGCUUUCUGUUGCCUUGAAAACUCA